rnacentral:rRNA from 1 species
CAAUCUGCCCAUAUCUGGGGGAGUAACAGUUGGAAACGACUGAUAAUACCGCAUAACAUGGUUUGAAGGCAUCUUCUUUCCAUCAAAGAUUUAUCGGAUAUGGAUGAGCUCGCGUCUGAUUAGCUUGUUGGUGAGGUAACGGCUCACCAAGGCGACGAUCAGUAGCCGACCUGAGAGGGUGAUCGGCCACAUUGGAACUGAGACACGGUCCAAACUCCUACGGAAGGCAGCAG